rnacentral:rRNA from 1 species
UACAGAGGUCCCAAGCGUUGUUCGGAUUCACUGGGCGUAAAGGGUGCGUAGGCGGCUUGUCACGCGGGGUGUGAAAGCCCGGGGCUUAACCCCGGGUCUGCAUUCGAUACGGGCAGGCUAGAGUGUGGUAGGGGAGAUCGGAAUUCCUGGUGUAGCGGUGAAAUGCGCAGAUAUCUGGAGGAACACCGGUGGCGAAGGCGGCAUCCUGGACCAAUAUUGACGCUGAGGAGCGAAAGCCAGGGGAGCAA